rnacentral:rRNA from 1 species
UAGGGAAUCUUCGGCAAUGGACGAAAGUCUGACCGAGCAACGCCGCGUGAGUGAAGAAGGUUUUCGGAUCGUAAAACUCUGUUGUUAGAGAAGAACAAGGACGUUAGUAACUGAACGUCCCCUGACGGUAUCUAACCAGAAAGCCACGGCUAACUACGUGCCAGCAGCCGCGGUAAUACGUAGGUGGCAAGCGUUGUCCGGAUUUAUUGGGCGUAAAGCGAGCGCAGGCGGUUUCUUAAGUCUGAUGUGAAAGCCCCCGGCUCAACCGGGGAGGAUCAUUGGAAACUGGGAGUCUGGAGUGCAGAAGGGGAGAGUGGAAUUCCAUGUGUAGCGGUGAAAUGCGUAGAUAUAUGGAGGAACACCAGUGGCGAAGGCGGCUCUCUGGUCUGUAACUGACGCUGAGGCUCGAAAGCGUGGGGAGCAAACGGG